rnacentral:lncRNA from 13 species
AUGGGGAACUAUUCCUGAGACUCUGAGACACGAGCCAGAUGGGGAACCAUUCCAGAGACUGAGACACGAGCCAGAUGGGAACCAUUCCAGAGACUGUGAGACACGAGCCAGAUGGGGAACCAUUCCCGAACCCGGAGAGCUGUAUCCCAGUGAUCUCGGUUUUAGACACGCAGCGGAAAUACAAGUUUCAGGAGAUGCUCAGAAACACGGCAUUGGAAUUAGGUUCUCUAAUUCUAUAAAAUAGACACACAGAAGCACACACACACCUGAUGAACCACCUCUCAAUUUCCUCUGAAAUAUUUGUGAUUAUAACCAAAGGCUUUUCUGCUCUCUCUUUUGUUAAUUUGAUUGGAUGAAUCCAGGAGAUGGGAGGGGCUAAUAUAUUAUGAAGAGGGGUGGGUCUAGGGGAGAAGGAAGAAAGGGUGAAACCAUCUAUUCAUUCAAGGUCAAAGUGUGAGAUGUCAGGGAGUGCAUGACUUUAGGAAUGUCCUCUUCAGAACUGGGGUCAGCUGAAGCCACAGAAGAGAGACCACAGGAGUGGCAGCCAUCUUAGAAAACGAGAAGCGACAAAAGCCACACUGUUGACAAACUGAGCAAGAUGUGGCCACAGCUACAUCCAGCCAAACCUAGUCACGCACACACACACACGCACAAACACAGACGCACAAACACACACAUACAUACAGUGCCUUGCGAAAGUAUUCGGCCCCCUUGAACUUUGCGACCCUUUGCCACAUUUCAGGCUUCAAACAUAAAGAUAUAAAACUGUAUUUUUUUGUGAAGAAUCAACAACAAGUGGGACACAAUCAUGAAGUGGAACGACAUUUAUUGGAUAUUUCAAACUUUUUUAACAAAUCAAAAACUGAAAAAUUGGGCGUGCAAAAUUAUUCAGCCCCCUUAAGUUAAUACUUUGUAGCGCCACCUUUUGCUGCGAUUACAGCUGUAAGUCGCUUGGGGUAUGUCUCUAUCAGUUUUGCACAUCGAGAGACUGAAUUUUUUUCCCAUUCCUCCUUGCAAAACAGCUCGAGCUCAGUGAGGUUGGAUGGAGAGCAUUUGUGAACAGCAGUUUUCAGUUCUUUCCACAGAUUCUCGAUUGGAUUCAGGUCUGGACUUUGACUUGGCCAUUCUAACACCUGGAUAUGUU